UACAGAGGGUGCAAGCGUUAAUCGGAAUUACUGGGCGUAAAGCGUGCGCAGGCGGUUUUGUAAGCCAGAUGUGAAAUCCCCGGGCUUAACCUGGGAAUGGCAUUUGGGACUGCAAGGCUGGAGUGCGGCAGAGGAGACUGGAAUUCCUGGUGUAGCAGUGAAAUGCGUAGAUAUCAGGAGGAAUACCGAUGGCGAAGGCAGGUCUCUGGGCUGACACUGACGCUCAUGCACGAAAGCGUGGGGAGCAAACAGG
rnacentral:rRNA from 1 species